CUGCUGACGCGGUGCCGGGGUUGAGCCACGGAGGCAGCCGGCUCCGCUCCCGGUGCCCUGGCGGUCCCCGGGGGCCUGUGCUCGGCGCUGGGCAGCCGCGGCCGGGGUCUGCCGCAUGAGUGCUGGCGUGCCCGAGCACCACGGAGGGCAGGCCGCCUGGCCUCCAGCACCUCCUCGCUGCUGGUUGCUGUUGCGGUCUCUUUAAUAGAGAUUGAGUCGCUGUGUCUACACGCCUACGAAAUAGGUGGAGAACAUCCAAGUGACCAGUGUUACAGAAGAGGCAAAGAGGAGAAAGAAGCUUCUGAACUGUCAACUUCUUCCGGCAGCGCCGCAGAACUGUGGGGCCAUGCUGAGGAUGUGGGUGUUGAUUCUGCCCCAGGAUGUUGUUUACUCUUCCCACCUCAGGCUUGCAUGGGUUGUCUCUGUCUCGCCUCGCUCUCCUCACAGUAUGGAGGCCAGGAAAGAGUGCUCACUGGCUGUUAACAAGACCUGUCAGGGCUGAAGCUGGAGAGGCCAAAAAAAGGUAAACAAAUUGAAUGCCAUCAAUCCGGCAGCACUCUGUUGCUGCAGGCAAGAGAUGGUCUGUGUCUCUGCAUGCCAAAGGAUCCCUCUUCGUGGUUCAGAGUAGGCCAGAGCGCCAAAGUAUACCAAGGGGUGGAAGACAGUCCAGUGACAUGAGCCAUAGAAGAGGAAGGGAGGUGACAAGGAGAAGGAAGUAUCUAUCUGAACUGUCCAAUUCUUCUGGCAGCGGCAAGAGCUAUGGCAUGUGGCAUUGUUAUGACCAUCUUGAAGGAAUACCUGGAUCUGACCUCACUGUUUGUGAUACUGGAUUUCAGAGAGACUUCAGAGUGUACCUGCAGCUGAGACAGACAUGGUUAGCAUUUAUCUCUGUUUGCCUCCUCCUCGAGGACCCAGAACUGAGAUGA
rnacentral:lncRNA from 14 species